rnacentral:rRNA from 1 species
UACGAAGGGGGCUAGCGUUGCUCGGAAUCACUGGGCGUAAAGGGUGCGUAGGCGGGAUCUUAAGUCAGAGGUGAAAGCCUGGAGCUCAACUCCAGAACUGCCUUUGAUACUGGGAUUCUUGAGUUCGGAAGAGGUGGAGUAGGAACUGCGAGUGUAGAGGUGAAAUUCGUAGAUAUUCGCAAGAACACCAGUGGCGAAGGCGGCUCACUGGUCCGAUACUGACGCUGAGGCACGAAAGCGUGGGGAGCAAACAGG